rnacentral:ncRNA from 1 species
ACCUGGUAAUCUCUAGCAAAGAGCCAGUAGUUAGCCUUGGAGCCGAAAUCGUGAGACUAGGUUUAAGUGUAGGUAAACAAGAAUUCGAGCUGUAAUGCGAAAGCGUGAAGUUAUUGAGCCUCGUUAAAGAAGAAAUAAAUAGAUGCAGAUGUGGUCACCUACACAGCAUGCAACAUCGGUAAUAUCGUUAGAGCGAGAUGUUAUGAGAAAUCUAUCGGGGUCUU